UAAUGGGUCAGCGACUUAUAUUCAGUGGCAAGGUUAACCAUCUAGGGGAGCCGUAGGGAAACCGAGUCUUAACUGGGCGUUCAGUCUCUGGAUAUAGACCCGAAACCAGGUGAUCUAGCCAUGGGCAGGUUGAAGGUUGAGUAACAUCAACUGGAGGACCGAACCGACUAAUGUUGAAAAAUUAGCGGAUGACUUGUGGCUAGGGGUGAAAGGCCAAUCAAACCUGGAGAUAGCUGGUUCUCCCCGAAAGCUAUUUAGGUAGCGCCUCGGACGAAUACUACUGGGGGUAGAGCACUGUUAAGGCUAGGGGGUCAUCCCGACUUACCAACCCUUUGCAAACUCCGAAUACCAGUAAGUACUAUCCGGGAGACACACGGCGGGUGCUAACGUCCGUCGUGGAGAGGGAAACAACCCAGACCGCCAGCUAAGGUCCCAAAUUACUACUAAGUGGGAAACGAUGUGGGAAGGCUCAGACAGCCAGGAUGUUGGCUUAGAAGCAGCCAUCAUUUAAAGAAAGCGUAAUAGCUCACUGGUCGAGUCGGCCUGCGCGGAAGAUGUAACGGGGCUAAGUAGUAAACCGAAGCUGCGGCAAUAUACUUUUGUAUAUUGGGUAGGGGAGCGUUCUGUAAGCGGUUGAAGGUGUGUGGUAACGCAUGCUGGACGUAUCAGAAGUGCGAAUGCUGACAUGAGUAACGAUAAAGGGGGUGAAAAACCUCCUCGCCGGAAGACCAAGGGUUCCUGUCCAACGUUAAUCGGGGCAGGGUAAGUCGACCCCUAAGGCGAGGCCGAAAGGCGUAGUCGAUGGGAAACGGGUUAAUAUUCCCGUACUUCUUACAAUUGCGAUGGGGGGACGGAGAAGGCUAGGUGGGCCUGGCGACGGUUGUCCAGGUUCAAGUGCGUAGGCUUGAGA
rnacentral:rRNA from 1 species